rnacentral:rRNA from 1 species
GUGAGGAAUAUUGGUCAAUGGGCGAGAGCCUGAACCAGCCAAGUAGCGUGAGGGAUGACUGCCCUAUGGGUUGUAAACCUCUUUUGCAGGGGGGUAAAGUGGUUCACGUGUGGACCAUUGCAAGUACCCUGCGAAUAAGGAUCGGCUAACUCCGUGCCAGCAGCCGCGGUAAUACGGAGGAUCCGAGCGUUAUCCGGAUUUAUUGGUUUUAAAGGUAGCGUAGGCGGGGGUUUAAGUCAUCUGUGAAAUGCCGUGGCCCAACCAUGGAACUGCAGUUGAAACUGGACCUCUUGAGAGUACAUAAGGAAGGCGGAAUUCGUGGUGUAGCGGUGAAAUGCAUAGAUAUCACGAAGAACUCCGAUUGCGAAGGCAGCUUUCCGGGGUACAUCUGACGCUGAAGCUCGAAAGUGCGGGAAUCAAACAGGAUUAGAAACCCCUGUAGUCC